rnacentral:tRNA from 1 species
GCCUUGCUAGCUCAAUCGGUAGAGCGUGUGACUCUUAAUCACAAGGUUGGGGGUUCGACCCCCCCGUAGGGCU